UUCUUCUCACUUAUUAUUGUUUUCGUCAUCAUCGACAUCAUCGUCACCAUUACUUUUCAUUGUCUUUGGAAAUUUGGACAGAGACCACAGGCAGAUGCGGUGCCGUAUUCCCACAGGGCUGGAGCAGCGGGUGUGUUUUUCUGUGAUAGCAGCGCUUCCCGGAACCAGCAGGGAUGACACGGCAGUUAGGAGCUUCUCUGGGGCCUUCAGGCAGACGGUCUGGGCUGUGUCCUGGCUGUGCCUUUUCCCAGCCCUACCUGCAGUCCUACACAUCUUCUCCACCUCCAGCGGCUUCUCCUUCUCACAUCCACCCUCUGCGAAGGCAUAAAUAGUAGCAACUCCCUUCUGGAUUCUAUGAGGUGAUAAUUACAUGAGAUGGCAGAGCCUGGAGCACGGGAGCUCCUCAGUGACUCAGUCAUGUUCAUUCCAAGGAGUUCAGGGUCCUUGCCGUCUGCAAACCUUUCCCCUUAUUUUCAAGAUCCUUGAGUCUGACUGUCAAGCAGUAACAUUCCAGCCUCAACUACAACAAUACUUGUAGAUGGUAAGAAACAUUGAGAUAGAGGAGAAUUUCUUAGAGAAGGUCAGGGUCUUGGAUUCCUUCAUAGAAAAGAAAAAAGGGCCAAUUUAUGUCCUUUGCUAACUCAAGGCCUGAUUUAAAACCGUAACCCAUGGGUAAAAAUGUAAAAAAGCUCAACCACAAAAGCAUGUAUGGGGACGUGUUCCCUGCUGCUGGGAGGGCUAUAGGGCUGGGUGCCAUUAUGUUCAUGUACAAUGAAGAGUGGGAACUCCUCUAUGUGGGGCCAGCCACGAGCCUGACCCCAUGCACAGCAUCUCAUUUAAGUUUCUCCACGUACCCACAGAAUGGAGCUUCCACUGGACCCCAUGUCACUGGUGAGGGACUUCAGGCAGAGAGAAAGCUCAUCCUUUGCCCAAGGUCACACCGCUGGUAAAAAGCAAAUGAAGUUCAAACUGACCUCCUCAUCCCUGCCCUUGUCCUCCCAACAGGCUCCUCACAGGUGGAAAAAUCAACCCCUACAGCAAACUCAUUGUUUUUUUGACCUCUCCUAAAAUUAAAAUCCAAGAUCCCUCAUGAGCUCUGUGAUCUUGGGUAAGGUGUUUUUUUUUUUUUCACCUCUAUGGGUUCCAGUUUCCUCCAAAGAAAAACCAAGGGUUUUGCAAACAUUUAAUUGUCAGUGCACAUCAUGCCAGUUUCAUGUCCUUGACCUUGGGAGAAGGCUGGCCAGUGGCCAGAACCGUCCUCUAUGCUCUGAGGCUGAGAGGCGUCAAAGCAAAGCUCUGUGACACACAUUACCUUUGAGCCCCCAAAGAACAUGAAGGAGCCCAGCCUGGGGGGUGCUUCUACUCUCUCUCUCCCAGUCCAGACUCCAGCUACUUCCCCUAAAGAGGAAGGCCAUGCUGAGUGUCUCCAGCUGAGGACGUGUUACUCCAAGACUCAUCUCCUUUGAUGUCUGGUCUCGUUAGCGGCUACGGUGGUAUAGGUGCUGACUGGGUUAACUCCAUCAAUAUUCUCCUUCUUACUCACCUACUUUGCUGUUUAAUAACAUAAUACAUAUUCUUGUAUCUUU
ensembl:lncRNA LINC02368 long intergenic non-protein coding RNA 2368